rnacentral:rRNA from 1 species
AACGAACGCUGGCGGCAUGCCUAACACAUGCAAGUCGAACGAAGGCUUCGGCCUUAGUGGCGCACGGGUGCGUAACGCGUGGGAAUCUGCCCUUUGGUUCGGAAUAACAGCUGGAAACGGCUGCUAAUACCGGAUGAUGACGAAAGUCCAAAGAUUUAUCGCCAGAGGAUGAGCCCGCGUUGGAUUAGGUAGUUGGUGGGGUAAAGGCCUACCAAGCCGACGAUCCAUAGCUGGUCUGAGAGGAUGAUCAGCCACACUGGGACUGAGACACGGCCCAGACUCCUACGGGAGGCAGCAGUGGGGAAUAUUGGACAAUGGGCGCAAGCCUGAUCCAGCAAUGACGCGUGAGUGAUGAAGGCCCUAGGGUUGUAAAGCUCUUUUACCCGGGAAGAUAAUGACUGUACCGGGAGAAUAAGCCCCGGCUAACUCCGUG